rnacentral:misc_RNA from 1 species
CUGCGUUAGGGAUAGAAGCGUAAAGCCCACAGCGCGGGUUAGGUUUGUGCGCAGGCAAGGCGAGGACUUGCAGCGGAUAGCCCGGCCGCAG